rnacentral:rRNA from 1 species
UGACCAUUGUAGUCCACACUGCAAACCAUGACACCCAUGAAUUGGGGAACAUCAUUGGGUGCCCGUGUGGCGGCCUUUUGUGCCGACCCCCGGCCCCAAUUUAUUUAUCAAUUUACGUGCCUAUUCUAUCACCCCCGGUUCCCUCUUUUGAGGUUCUUCCGGGGUUUUACGGGAAUAUCCUCAGCACGUUGCUACUUGACUCCGCA